UACGUAGGAUGCAAGCGUUGUCCGGAUUUACUGGGCGUAAAGCGCGCGCAGGCGGUCCAAUAAGUAUGGCGUGAAAUCUCCUUGCUCAACGGGGAGGGUGCGUUGUAGACUGUAGGACUUGAGGUCGGUAGAGGGGGGUGGAAUUGCUGGUGUAGCGGUGAAAUGCGUAGAGAUCAGCAGGAACACCCGUGGCGAAGGCGGCCCCCUGGGCCGAUCCUGACGCUGAGGCGCGAAGGCUAGGGGAGCGACCCGG
rnacentral:rRNA from 1 species